UGCAUGCCGGUCGCAUUCACCGACCAUUCGUCGAAUCAAAGCCAGCUAAUUUCCGCAGAAACUAUUCCACAAUUUUCUCGUGCACGAUCCAGUCAAACUGCUGAAUUACAGAAUUGCAUUUGCAAAACGGUUUAUACGGAAGCGUUCUAGAGUGAACCGUAAAGUGUUCGGUCUCGAACGAUUCGUUUAGAAUUGAGAGCAAAUUGGAAUCAUGCAACCCGUUACCGCUGGCGUUAUGGCGUGUGCCGUUUCGUGUGUUCGAUUAGUGACUGUAUGUGGUUCCGUACUCACUUGGAGGGUGGCCAUAACAUGACAGAAGGCUGCUGCGUUUUAUUUUAAAUCAACGAACAUUGCGACUGCAACGAAAGGAAAGGUAGUGCAAUGGUUUUGUGGGUGAAAAGCAGUGAAGAAUACAGUUCCGGAAGUUUGGGAAUUAGUUACAUCGUAAUGAAGAAGCUAGAGGCAAUUUUCGAGAGAAUUCGAUUGCGUCACAAACUAGUGAAUCGUUGACGGUGUCGGUUUCCGCAAGACAAAAAGUAGACUGAACCAUGCAUUGUUCAGUCACUCGUUUAGUUGGUUGACGGGGCCUUGUACAUCUUCAAGGCUUGUUCCGGCAAUAUAGUUGAAUUUGAAUAUCGAAGAAGUGAAACACGAUUUCGCAACUGUUGAAAGGUAUGUUAUGGCGUGAAAAACCACCGAGGACUUCGCAUCGUAUACGGCCGAUUGAGUGUGUAACCUUUGAUACACCUCCAUGUGAUGUGAUAUAAAUGGCAUAUCGCAUAAUUUAAUGCUGGAAAAACGCUGCCCUGCCCAAUCGAGAUAGUGAUCGCUUAUUGCCGAUACUCCUACAACGGCUGCUGAUAGGAAACUUUCGGAUCUACUCACUAAUUACCAUUAAUUGUUGUUGAACAUGAGAUAGCACGUAAUAUAAGUGAAUAAGGUGAACAGAAUCUUCUUCGUCAUCAUUGCAUCAAAGUACCGAUACAUCGGACACUGGCAGGAUCAGGCAACAUCGCAGACGGUUACCGGAGUUGCUCGGCAGCUACGUCAUACUCGACUGAGGGCACACUCGCUGGCUGCCUGACACAUGGCAAUUAAGAUUUAUCAUGAGGCCAUCAGACGUUGCUUCAGUUUUUACACUUUACAGCCGCCACGCUCGUGAGGUCUGGGCAGAUGCUACUGUUGCUGGUGACGAUGGUGACUACGUUUUGUACUACAACUUCCCGCUGUGAACCAGACGUACCGAUGAUCACUAGCGAAACAGUUGGCUACCAUUGAUUAUAUAUCAUAGCAGGGGAUCGACGGGUCCAUAAACAACACAACGAUCGUUGCGAACUACCAGACCAAGUUGUUGCAAUGCAUUUCAUGCUACCUUUCUGGACGGAUCCUCAGCCCACCCACCGUCAUUCGUGGGCAGUCUUUAGAUUUCAGGAGCUCGUUCCUUUUUGGGCUACACGCCAUGUUAAUUUGCAGGACUGCAAUCAACAUAUUCUGGCCACUCUGUCAUACAUCGUCAUACUGGCACCCGAGCAAAGUAAUACAGCAAUGACGUGGGGUCCGGCCGUACCGCAUACACUUCGGUUAUGCUUAGUAGCUCCUCGCUAAGUAACCGUCAGUAUCACAACGCAAACACCUGUACGUUCGUUUCCCUCCUUGGCAAGUUUGGGCUUGCUUAGACACUCAAAAUUCUAACCCAAAACGGUCCUCUCUAGCACACCGGGACAUCGCAGCCAGGCCGAGGAUGACGUCUCCUGCCAAGUGCGCACGGUUCUUAGCGCUCCUCAAUACGAAACUGUACGGAAUGAUAUCCCCCUUGGUACCGUUGCAAGCACCAGUAGUCCUCCUGUACGAACAGGCACAUCGGCACUAUGUUUGCCAGUACUAAAACCGUCUCGUAGCGCACAGUCCGCAAGGUAUAUGCGAGCUUUAACGUUUUCUUUCACUGCACAUAAUGCAUCAUACAUCGACACUCCAGGUUCCUGGAGACCUCAU